CUCCACGCCACUUCCCCACCAUCCCUCCCUGCCGCUUUCCCGAAGUCCUUGACGGUGGGGCUAACACAGCACUGGGGUCGUAACUGUUGGUAGGGGUCAGCUUUCCCUUUUGGAUCGGGCGCUUUUGGAAACAGGAACUGAGCCGCCUUCUUCUGUCAAGGUUUCGCUGAUAUUUAUAAACUUCUGCCUGACUGCUGGAGGCUGGGAACAGAUUUGAGAAAGGAACUUCUACCCUCUGGGACCGGAGGAGGGGAAGACCGACCAUAAACAGGAGAAAGUAAAAGAUGCCCAAGGCUUCCAUCCGGGCUCUGGGGAACAAUGGGGGGAUUUGGGCGGAGGUGGGGGGCAAGGCAGCUCUCAGAGGGUCACGGAAGGCCACACAGAGAGUGACAGGCUGUCAGCCUGAGGGUGGUGAUCGAGGGAACAGUGGGUGUUUGGAGGCCUACCAAGAGGAGCUGAAUUUUCUUCAUAUGCUUCUACUGAAACAAGACUUUACGACAGAUGGAGUACACAGAGCGGCUGUGAGAAUCCAUCUACUUCCUGGCUAUGGAAACAAUGGACCCCAAGAAAUUGGAAUUUCCCCAGGAAUCUCACGCUGAGAGAAGGAAAAAGCUGUAGCCUGGUGCCGGCCAGAGGAGGAAACUGUCCGCUGGAAAGAGAUUUCACACAGUGUUGACAGUCGAAACGAGAAACUGAAGGCCGAAUAUCGACGGGUGAAUGAUGGCCAGGACCACACCUCAGCAGAGGCUGCUUAGUCGUGCACACCUAAACAUCGUGUGAUCACCCCCAGGGAUGUCUUAGGGGGUAUCACUCAGCCCCUUUGUUCCUCUUCCCAAUAUGACCAUAUUGAGUAAACACCCUUUCCCUGUUUUUCGUCAUUAUUUGGGCCCUUUAACUGGCCCACUGAAGAUGAACGGCCCAGCCCCAUGUGUUAGGGGGCUACCUACCCAGGACCCAAGCUCCCACCCUAAUAACUUAGUAACAAUGACUGCUCACUGUUUACAAAAUAUAGUAACGGAACCAAACUGAGCUUAUUAAAUUUGCUGUAGGAAGGGUGAACAUCCCAAUAAUGUCUCAAAACAAAAGAAAGAAAAAGAACUUCUAGGGCCAGGACAAGGGGUGUUAAGGUCCAUGUUGCAAGGUGGCUUUGGGUCCAUACAGCACUUCACCGUGAUAGCACAGCUUUUGGUGUGUUAGAUGUAGUGAAAUUAGGGUCCUGAAGCUGUGUUCCAUGGACAAAGUCUGAGUCUUGAUAUCUAAGCUCUUUGGCUCAUGGUUGCUUUUGCCCUAGGGAGCCCAGCUAUCCUGGAGCAGGCAGCGAGGCUAUUUUUGCUCAGCCUGAGUUUUGUUCGAGGAAAACAUGGGGAGCGAUGUUUUCUGGUGGGCUAGAUAGGGAAAAGAAGGAACCCCACUGCAGUGCUGAAGAGAGGCUGGUGGAGUCAUAGAGCUGGAGAACAUGACUUAUCAACCGAAGAGUGGAAAAUUAAGGCCCUCCAAAAAUGGCUGGGUAGACAUGGCGGGCUGAGUCAGCCACUAAUUGUGUGGCUGCACUUUAAUGGAGUCUCCAUGUCAUUAGGCUCAUAAAAUUGGCUGCUUCCAUCAUGCACUGAAGCCACUACACAUCCCUAAACCUCAUGUAAGAACAAAAGGGUAAGUGUGUUGGGUUGGGGUUUAAGGUUUCAGGAGUGGAGAAAUAUUCAUCCAUUCCUGGAAUUCCCUGUUUCAGUCUAACUUACGAAUAACCCUCCCUUCUGUUAAUUUUUUUUUCCCUCAUAAGAAGAGCUAUCCAAAACCCAGAGAGAUGGAGAAAGGGUAUUUGGAAAAGCUCUUAUUCACUGUGGUGGUUGGAAAGAAAAUGGCCCCCAUAGGGAGUGGCUGGGUUAGGAGGUGUGGCUUUGCUGGAGUAGAUGUGAAUUUAUUGGAGGUGUCACUGUGGAGGUGAGCUUCGAGGUUUCACAUAUGCUCAAACUAUGCCCAGCGCCUCAGUUCACUUCCUGUUGCCUGCACGAAUUGUAGCAAUCUCAGCUCCUUCUCCAGCACCGUGCCUUCCUGCACA